AACGGAACUUGUUGAAUGAAGUUUUCGGAUGGAUUUUGAUAAGUUUAGUGGCGGACGGGUGAGUAACGCGUGAGCAACCUGCCUUGCAGAGGGGGGAUAACGUUUGGAAACGAACGCUAAUACCGCAUAAAGUAUCUGAUAUCGCAUGGUAUUGAUCCAAAGGAGCAAUCCGCUGAAGGAUGGCCUCGCGUCCGAUUAGAUAGUUGGUGGGGUAACGGCCUACCAAGUCGACGAUCAGUAGCCGGACUGANAGGUUGAUCGGCCACAUUGGGACUGAGACACGGCCCAGACUCCUACGGGAGGCAGCAGUGGGGAAUAUUGCACAAAUGGAGGAAACUCUGAUGCAGCGACGCCGCGUGAGGGAAGAAGGUAUUCGUAUUGUAAACCUCUGUCUUCGGGGACGAUAAUGACGGUACCCGAGGAGGAAGCACCGGCUAACUACGUG
rnacentral:rRNA from 1 species